CAGCAGCCGCGGGAAUACGUAGGUGGCAAGCAUUGUCCGGAAUUAUUGGGCGUAAAGGGCUCGCAGGCGGUUUCUUAAGUCUGAUGUGAAAGCCCCCGGCUCAACCGGGGAGGGUCAUUGGAAACUGGGAAACUUGAGUGCAGAAGAGGAGAGUGGAAUUCCACGUGUAGCGGUGAAAUGCGUAGAGAUGUGGAGGAACACCAGUGGCGAAGGCGACUCUCUGGUCUGUAACUGACGCUGAGGAGCGAAAGCGUGGGGAGCGAACAGGAUUAGAUACCCCUGUAGUCCCUGUCUCUUAUAU
rnacentral:rRNA from 1 species